GUUAAAGUCAGCAAUGGUGGAAAUAGGAACCCAUCCUUGGCCAUCCAUCAAGGAUAUUAGGUAAUGAUCAGUCUUCAGAUUUUCAUCACUGAAAUAAUAAUCUAUUUGUCUUAUUAUGCUCUCUCUCAAAGACGGUGUUUCUUGGGGGAGGAGAGGAGCCCCUGGACUAGUAGGAUAUGGCAUAAAACGUGGAGGGUGGCCUCCCCUGAAAGAGCCUGUAGGUGCAACAGGAACAUAGCAUAUAGGUGGUCCAGGGAAGGUUGGAGCAACCAUGAAGCCUGGAGCAGGAGCAAAUAAGGGAGGCCUGACUAGAGGCCUUGGUCCCAUACCCUGUUGCAAAGCCAUGUUAUCUCUGGGGCUAAAUGCUCGUUGAUGCCAUGCAUAAUUCAAAUGGCUACCAGGUUCUGGCACACUGGGUCUUCUAUUUGAAAAAUUGACAGCAAAAGCAUUGGGAUCCCCUCUUGGUGGAGUCUGAACAUUAACAGACGGAACAAAAGGUUGGACAGUAGAAGAAUCAGAUCCAGACUUUACCAAAUGAGUUUCAAUGCUAGGAAAAGGAGCAAGGCCAGGCUGGUAAGCAUAUCCAGAAACAGCAAUGUGAGGUGGAGGCACCAUAGCAUGAAAAACAGGUGGAAAAGUCGGUUGCUGGUAAGGAAAGGGUACAGGGAAAGGAGGUGCAACAUUUGGGUUGCGCUUAGAGCCUAAUUUUUGAUGUCUUGAUGAUGAAUACUUAUGUGAAGAAUUAGGGUUUCCAGAACCAUUUGACUUGUGUUGCCCAACUGAUCCCUGCGUUGGAGACGGAACAGAAGUCGGCUUUGUAGCAGAAUCAAUACUCUUGGAGCGUUGUUGGUGAUGGGCGUCGGCAAGAGCAGGCCAAGACUCUGCGCCCAUCACAGGAGCAUCGGCCACCACCGGAGUCUUCCAGGGGGACUUGGGACCACUAUUCACCUCCUUCUGAUCAUCCCCACCCUCACUCUCCGCCAUC
rnacentral:misc_RNA from 1 species